GACGAACGCUGGCGGCGUGCUUAACACAUGCCAGUCGAGCGGAAGGGCGCUGCGUUUGCUGGGUUCUCGUUUGGCGCGCGGGGGAGUGACACACGUGGAACCUGCCCCUGUCUGUCGGGUAACUCCAGGGAACUCCGGCGCAUACCCGAGAUGAUCUCCUGAUCCGUGUGGUUCGAUGGUGAGUGUCGGCGGUUGGGGAUGUACUCGCUGUUUAUGAGCUUGUUGGGGUGGUAGUUGCGUACCAGGGCUACGACGGGUAGGCGGCCUGGGAGGGUGAACGGCCACAUUGGGACUGCGAGACGGCCCAGACUCCUACGGGCGGCAGCAGUGGGGAAUAUUGCACAACGGGCGGAAGCCUGAUGCAGCAACGCCGGGUGCGGGAAGCCCGCCUUCGGGGUAUAAACCGCUUUCGACUGUGACGAAGCGUGAGUGACGGUACUGGGUAAAGAAGCACCGGCUAACUACGUG
rnacentral:rRNA from 1 species